CAAAAAGAAUAGUCUCAGUUCGGACUGUGGGCUGCAACCCGCCCACACGAAGUCGGAGUUGCUAGUAAUCCCGAAUCAGCAUGUCGGGGUGAAUGCGUUCCCGGGUCUUGUACACACCGCCCGUCACGCCAUGGGAGUUGGGGAUACCCGAAGCCUGUGAGCUAACUAUUUAUAGGAGCAGCAGUCGAAGGUAGAAUCAAUGAUUGGGGUGAAGUCGUAACAAGGUAAC
rnacentral:rRNA from 1 species